rnacentral:misc_RNA from 1 species
GAUGAAGAACGCAGCGAAAUGCGAUAAGUAAUGUGAAUUGCAGAAUUCAGUGAAUCAUCGAGUCUUUGAACGCACAUUGCGCCCCCUGGUAUUCCGGGGGGCAUGCCUGUCCGAGCGUCAUUGCUGCCCUCAAGCACGGCUUGUGUGUUGGGCCGCCGUCCCCGGUUUCCCCCGGGGACGGGCCCGAAAGGCAGCGGCGGCACCGCGUCUGAUCCUCGAGCGUAUGGGGCUUUGUCACCCGCUCUGUAGGCCCGGCCGGCGCCAGCCGACACCCAACUUUAUUUCUAAGGUUGACCUCGGAUCAGGUAGGGAUACCCGCUGAACUUAAGCAUAUCAAUAAGCGGAGGA